GCUGGGCACGGAGGCCCACGCCUGUAAUCCCAGCAGCUUGGGAGGCUGAGGCAGGAGGAUCGUGAGUUCAAAGCCAGCCUCAGCAACUUAGCAAGGCCCUGAGAAACUCAGUGAGACUCUGUCUCCA
rnacentral:sRNA from 1 species